rnacentral:lncRNA from 1 species
CCCCAGGGCCACUCAGCUGGUACUAGGUGAAACUUGGACUCGAACCUACCUACCCUGCUACCCAAAAAUAACCUACUGUGGUUUCAGUAACCUGGAGUACCAUUGAAUUUUUUUAUUUAAGCAAGAUUUUUCGAUUUCUGCUGGCAGGACCUAAAUGCAGUCUUACCCAGAAGCCGAAGGCCCAGGUGACGUUGUUCAGGCCUUUUAGCAAAAACAAAGUCUUACCAAAAACUCAGAGUAUUUGGUGCUGAGUAACUGAAAUCUUUCUUAUCACUUUACAUAUGUGAGGGGACAAAGUGUCAUUAUGAAAAACUACAAAAGUAUUUCCUUGAAACAAGCUUAUCUGUUUUCCCACAGAAGCCAUCCGUGGUCUGAGGCGGCUACUGUUGGGCUGAGGCCGAACACAUACACCCAGGACGCCCAGUGAUUAGAGCUCUAGAGCACAGGUUGGAAAAAGAAACAUGAAGAGUGUCUGCUAUUGUCAUUCAUUGCUGCGAUCCCUCAGGGUUCUGGAAUUGUUUGCUUCCUGAAGAGUGUGCUGCUUACUGACGCAGGCCGUCCAGAUGCCCAAGGGGAGUGUCUCCGGGUUGCAGAUGUGCUCUAAGCACCUUCCCUGGAAAUCACAGAACUUCAGACCCCCUAAGGAAGGCGAAAAGCUCCCUGAGGAAUCGUGGUGGGGUUCUGGAAACCUGAAGGCCUGCGGCCACAGGCAGUGCUGCUUAGGUGAACUCUCCUCGCAGGAGCUGAAGGCCCGGACUCCAUGGUCUUCUGGGCCUUUCCUCACAGGAGUGGUUGGUCCAGUGAUGUUUCCAGAAGACCUCCUUUCCGCUUCUUCACUGCGUCGAGUCCAUCCCAUCUGACACCAGAGGCCUGUCCAGGAGGCCUGUCCCGGCCUGACUUUCCUGAGAGCAGGGCCAAGACAAAGGCGUGAACCCAGGAGGCUGCCGCCUGCCCUUCACGGCAAGUCUGGGUCUGGUUUCCUGUGAAUGUAGAGCUUUGAAUUCAGUCUACGGAUGUCUAAGCUUCUGUGGGACGGUGGGGUCCCCCUGGGUGCCCGGGGCAGGUUUUGCCCUCCUGCUUCCCCUUAGCACCCAGGCCAGGGCUCACAUCUCGCUUGGCCUAUAACUUUUUUCUUUUUUUAAGAUUUUAUUUUAUUU